GACGAACGCUGGCGGCGUGCUUAACACAUGCAAGUCGAGCGAGACCUCUCCUUCGGGGGGGUGUUCUAGCGGCGAACGGGUGAGUAACACGUGGGCAACCUGCCCUCAGCUCUGGGAUAACUCCAAGAAAUUGGGGCUAAUACCGGAUAUGACCGCUGACCGCAUGGUCUGGUGGUGGAAAGAUUUAUCGGCUGGGGAUGGGCCCGCGGCCUAUCAGCUUGUUGGUGGGGUAGGGGCCUACCAAGGCGACGACGGGUAGCCGGCCUGACGGGGUAACGGGCCACACUGGGAAUGAGACACGGCCCAGACUCCUACGGGAGGCAGCAGUGGGGAAUAUGGCGCAAUGGGCGGAAGCCUGACGCAGCGACGCCGCGUGGGGGAUGCCGGCCUUCGGGUUGUAAACCUAUUUCAGCAGGGACGAAGCGAGAGUGACGGUACCUGCAGAAGAAGCACCGGCCAACUACGUGCCAGCCGCCGCAGUAAGAC
rnacentral:rRNA from 1 species